rnacentral:tRNA from 1 species
GCCUCGGUAGCUCAGGUGGUAGAGCAGCGGACUGAAAAUCCGCGUGUCGGUGGUUCAAGUCCGCCCCGAGGCA